rnacentral:rRNA from 1 species
UGGGGAAUUUUGGACAAUGGGCGAAAGCCUGAUCCAGCAAUGCCGCGUGUAUGAAGAAGGCCUUCGGGUUGUAAAGCACUUUUGUCCGGAAAGAAAUCCUUGGCUCUAAUACAGUCGGGGGAUGACGGUACCGGAAGAAUAAGCACCGGCUAACUACGUGCCAGCAGCCGCGGUAAUACGUAGGGUGCAAGCGUUAAUCGGAAUUACUGGGCGUAAAGCGUGCGCAGGCGGUUUGCUAAGACCGAUGUGAAAUCCCCGGGCUCAACCUGGGAACUGCAUUGGUGACUGGCAGGCUAGAGUAUGGCAGAGGGGGUAGAAUUCCACGUGUAGCAGUGAAAUGCGUAGAGAUGUGGAGGAAUACCGAUGGCGAAGGCAGCCCCCUGGGCCAAUACUGACGCUCAUGCACGAAAGCGUGGGGAGCAAACAGGAUUAGAUACCCUGGUAGUCCACGCCCUAAACGAUGUCAACUAGUUGUUGGGGAUUCAUUUCCUUAGUAACGUAGCUAACGCGUGAAGUUGACCGCCUGGGGAGUACGGUCGCAAGAUUAAAACUCAAAUGAAUUGAC